GCAUAGUUGUAUCCGAGGCACUGAAAAGAAGAAUCAUGCCACUUAAACCUUUUAAAAUCUUAAUAUUGAUGUUUGGAUUUUGUUCCCGAUUCUAUGCUAUCGAAUAUCCACCAAUUCAAACUGCCCAAAAGGAAGUUCUGCGUGGCGUUGAUGUGUCUUUGCGAUGCGAGGUCUCUUUCCUGUCUGAAUCCUCAACAUUGCAGUGGGAGAGAGAUGGAGAACAAACAUCCAACACCACUCUACUGUACAACAACUCUGCCUACAUCAUCUUACACACCGUUGAUGAACACAAUCAGGGCAAAUAUUACUGUAGAUUGAUGGAAGAUGGAAGAGUAGCAACGGUUAGGAUUCACACGCUUAAUCUCAGUUCAAGUA